UACGUAGGGGGCUAGCGUUGUCCGGAUUUAUUGGGCGUAAAGAGCGUGUAGGCGGCCAGGUAGGUCUGCUGUGAAAACUCGAGGCUCAACCUCGAGACGUCGGCGGAAACCAUCUGGCUAGAGUCCGGAAGAGGAGAGUGGAAUUCCUGGUGUAGCGGUGAAAUGCGCAGAUAUCAGGAGGAACACCAAUGGCGAAGGCAGCACUCUGGGACGUGACUGACGCUGAGGCGCGAAAGCCAGGGGAGCAAACGGG
rnacentral:rRNA from 1 species